CUCAUUAUGUGUAAAUAACACACAUGUAUCGACACAUACUCCGGGGUGCCUGAACGCCUGCGUAAGCAGUCUGCCGGGUCGGUUGUAUGGGAUACAUGGAGGCUUAAC
rnacentral:sRNA from 11 species